UUUCAAACCCCAUUUAAAAUUCAUUUUCAUACUUUUCUGCACCAAUCGGACUAUUGAAGAUAGUCAUACGCAAUGCAGAGUGCUAUGACGAAAAUUUUCUAUGGACUGUGGCAGGGCGGAGGAUCUGGCAAGGGAUAAGGUAUAGUUCCAUUUUUUUAAGUUAUGAAUCUGAAAAAUAGAUAAUAAUGACCCAGUCAAUUAACAUAGAGAUCUACUCUAGCUAUAUGAGUCCAUAUAUUUAUCGUCUCUCGAUAAAAGACCUAUCUCUGAAAAUUAAAAUUCCCCGAUUUGAUUAUUCUUUUAAUAUGACGUAAUUAUGUAACCUCAUAUAAAAUAUAGUAGAGCGUAUACAAACAAAUUAUAUGAAUAGAUUCAUUAUCAGAAAUAUUACAGGCCUUUCAAACGAACAGUCGCCAUUUUUAGAGCUACAUAGAUGUACAAAUAUAUUUUUAUCGUCUCGGGCAAGGUCAAGGUCACGAUCUGUUCACGGUUGAUGAUUGUGUUUAAAUCGGUUUAUAUCAUAUUAUUUCUAUUCACAUUACAAUAUUUUUUUAUAGGUUACGGUUAUUGUUGUUAUUUAUCUAAAUUGCUUUUAUUAUUUAUUAAAUAUUUUUUGUUUGUUCGUUUGACCGGAACGUACGGAAUUCUGGGAUUUAAAAUGGCGGCAUAGGUUAUUAUUUUUCCCAAAGAAGAAAUGAUGCCGUGAUUUAAAGUUAAAUAAAGCUAUUCCACACAUACACAGACGAUUUUGGAUUCAGCAAAGUAAAGUUGAAGAUCCUACAUGUAUAUUUGAGCACCCUUGGUGGCAGUAAUGACAAAGAAGUUCUAAAAAGAUUUAUAUGGGCUUUAUAAUGAAAGUUAGACAACACUACUACUUGCCAAACACUACUACUUGUCACAUAAUGUAAUGAUAUAAAUAUAUAUGUAUCUAUGGUAGCACAAAUAUCAUCAGAAUGUAGGCCAAAGCUUUACAAGCAUUGUAGGCCUAAAAUACUUUCUGUCUGAACUUUUGACAGUCAAUUCUUUGAUGACUAGUUAGUUUAGAGCAGAUAUCCUGUCACAGUAUUAUAUAACAGCUCUUUGGCUUAAAGUCUAAACUGAGUUGUAUCAGUGAGUUGAAAAUCAUCUGUGUUCCUGUUAUUGCUCCCUGCUGCAGCCAGUAAACAAUAACCUUUUGC